UACCAGCACCCCGAGUGGUCGGGACGAUUAUUGGGCCUAAAGCAUCCGUAGCCGGUUCUACAAGUCUUCCGUUAAAUCCACCUGCUUAACAGAUGGGCUGCGGAGGAUACUAUAGAGCUAGGAGGCGGGAGAGGCAAGCGGUACUUAGUGGGUAGGGGUAAAAUCAGUUGAUCCAUUGAAGACCACCAGUGGCGAAGGCGGCUUGCCAGAACGCACUCGACGGUGAGGGAUGAAAGCUGGGGGAGCAAACCGG
rnacentral:rRNA from 1 species